UUUUUUAUUAACGUGCAUUUAAAUGGAAUGUUGUUUUACCAUCAUGACUAGACAUGUCCAUUUUCUGUCUUUUCACUAUGUGCCUAAUAGAGCACAUGGUCCAUUGACUUCAUUGAAACUGGGCCAAGUAUCAGUUGACAUGAUACUGUUUGAGGCUUGCCUGUUGUAUGCCUAUUAAAAUUCAACAUCACAUUUUUUCAUCUGACUUUUCUGAUGAGAAUUUGUAAUUAAUGAGUCAUUUUAUUUAUCCUUAUUUUAAAUAAAUGGGUUUUACUUUAAUCUCACACAUGCUAAAUAAAGUCUGUCUGCUGUUUUAAAAAAAAGUGAUUAUACCAGCUACUGACCAAUAUCAGGAUCAUCUGGUAGUGAAGAACGAUUUUUGACAGAUCUUCCCUGUAAUUGUUGUUGUGGGAGUGUUUCUGGAUUAUGUAGAAAUCCUCUUAAACCCAUAACAGAUUUACAGCUUGUUUCAAUGUGCUACAAAACUUAAAAUCAUGUAAUUAAUACUGUGCUAUAUGUACCUCCACCAUAAGCAGCUUAUGUAAGGAUCUUUUUAUUCAUAUAGCUACUCCAAAUUGGUUUACUACACUUUCUCAAUACAUUUUUUUUUUUUUAAGUGAUACGCACACACGAUGCACUAAGAACUAUGUAAUUAAAAACUUAAUUUAAAAACAGAAAGUUAAAAAGACUGCCAGAGUGCAUGACUAAGCCCGGAAAAGACCAAAACAAAGCCCGGGAAAGGCCGUGCACAGAGUACUGAUAAAAAGAGGAGAAGAGGGUGGGGAGCUUUAAAGAGAGCGGAGAGAUAUUAAACUGCCAGGACUUUCACUUUCAAUGAGCAAACUGCCUCCACACUGUUUGAUCCUUCAGGAGUAGCCUACAGCAGAUCAAAUCUCUUGCUCACUUGCAUGCCAGCUGGAAAAUAAAGCUUCUAAACAAACUGAUUGAAAAUGAAGAAGGAAAGUUAGAGUGAAAGAAACAGGAAACUAAAAUCACUGGAGACAGAGGAAUAUCUUGUCCAUCAGAAGACUGGGAGUUUCCAAGUGUCAGACUAUUGAGCCAGAGGGUCAGAAUGGAGAGCAGCUGUGGGAUCAAGGAGAAAGUGCAGCAGUGAGAGGAAGAGGACACAUUGGUUAUUGGUGUCUAAAAGAAGCAGCUGGGAAACCCACUGAGGCUGAGAUUCUUCCAUAACCCCUUCUGCAGCAAUCUGUCGUGCAAAACGACUUGGUUAAACAGAACAUGGGGAAUAUGGUCCACAUUGGCCGGUAGAAGCAUGUCACCAACAGUGCUCUUACUUCUAUCAAUAUUGACUGUUCAAGGAAGUGGGUGCGAUGAUUUUAUGAAGACGACGAUCAAAAAUCUGCAAGCCUC